rnacentral:rRNA from 1 species
UGAACGCUGGCGGUAUGCCUAACACAUGCAAGUCGUACGAGGGUUUUUAACUCUAGUGGCGGACGGGUGAGUAACACGUGAGAAUUUGCCUUUAGGAGGGGGAUAACAAUCGGAAACGAAUGCUAAUACCCCAUAUGCUUUCGAGUGAAAUGGAUUUAUCCGCCUAAAGAGAAGCUCGCGGCUGAUUAGCUUGUUGGUAAGGUAAGAGCUUACCAAGGCGACGAUCAGUAUCUGGUUUGAGAGGACGAUCAGGCACACUGGAACU